rnacentral:rRNA from 1 species
UGUGUAGGCGGGAUGGUAAGUCAGAUGUGAAAAUUAUGGGCUCAACUCAUAACCUGCAUUUGAAACUGCUGUUCUUGAGGUUCGGAGAGGUAGACGGAAUUCCUGGUGUAGCGGUGAAAUGCGUAGAUAUCAGGAGGAACACCGGUGGCGAAGGCGGUCUACUGGACGAAUACUGACGUUGAGACACGAAAGCGUGGGGAGCAAACA